rnacentral:pre_miRNA from 1 species
ACAACAUUUGGAUCGUCAGUCUACCGAGUAAUUUCACCCGCUUGGUGGAAGAUUUUGCCUUUUUCGU